ACUUAUUUCAAAUGUGCAUUGUUUUGAUGCAGACGGAGACGGGUUGACGGAGACAGACCAACUGUGGGAGACGCGAUAAACGGACGAGAAGAGUGAUACAUACCACUAAGCUGACGGAGUUUGACGUGAUGGACUAAGCAGUUCCAACAGAAAUAGUCGUCUAAUCCUGUAUAUGGCACAAAAAUAUAAAAUGUGUACCGUGCACGACGAGGUUAUCAAUGGCCGGAGCAAAUCGUAUUGCAAGUAAGAUAUAUGGAAUUAUUACACACACUCAACAGAGAUCGAGUUCCAAACGUGCACACCAACAAUGAGUAAGUAGUCGAUCGAUAGAGAAAUUGUAAUUACAUUUCUAGAAUUUAACUGCUUUAUAUACGAUUCACCCGACAAAACGUAUUAUCUAAUUUAUUAUUAAAUCAUACAGUUGUUAUUAGUUACUCUUAUUAGUUACUUUGUUAUUAGUUAAUUUUGUAUAUUUCUGAUACAACGAUGUUCUUUGAUUGCAAGUUCUGUUAUUAAUCUAAGUACUAUUAGAAAUAUUAUCAAUAUUUGUAAGAUAUGAAUUUCUUUUAUUAUAACAGUGCAAAAUAU